UACGGGGGGGGCAAGCGUUGUUCGGAAUUACGGGGCGUAAAGGGCUCGUAGGCGGCCAACUAAGUCAGACGUGAAAUCCCUCGGCUUAACCGAGGAACUGCGUCUGAUACUGGAUGGCUUGAAUCCGGGAGAGGGAUGUGGAAUUCCAGGUGUAGCGGUGAAAUGCGUAGAUAUCUGGAGGAACACCGGUGGCGAAGGCGGCAUCCUGGACCGGUAUUGACGCUGAGGAGCGAAAGUGUGGGGAGCGAACAGG
rnacentral:rRNA from 1 species